GACGAACGCUGGCGGCGUGCCUAAUACAUGCAAGUCGAGCGAAUGGAUUAAGAGCUUGCUCUUAUGAAGUUAGCGGCGGACGGGUGAGUAACACGUGGGUAACCUGCCCAUAAGACUGGGAUAACUCCGGGAAACCGGGGCUAAUACCGGAUAACAUUUUGAACCGCAUGGUUCGAAAUUGAAAGGCGGCUUCGGCUGUCACUUAUGGAUGGACCCGGGUCGCAUUAGCUAGUUGGUGAGGUAACGGCUCACCAAGGAAACGAUGCGUAGCCGACCUGAGAGGGUGAUCGGCCAAACUGGGACUGAGACACGGCCCAGACUCCUACGGGAGGCAGCAGUAGGGAAUCUUCCGCAAUGGACGAAAGUCUGACGGAGCAACGCCGCGUGAGUGAUAAAGGCUUUCGGGUCGUAAAACUCUGUUGUUAGGGAAGAACAAGUGCUAGUUGAAUAAGCUGGCACCUUGACGGUACCUAACCAGAAAGCCACGGCUAACUACGUGCCAGCCGCCGCGGUAA
rnacentral:rRNA from 1 species